rnacentral:snRNA from 1 species
GUAUUCGCUUCAGCAGCACAUAUACUAAAAUUGGAACAAUACAGAGAAGAUUAACAUGGCCCCUGCACAAGGAUGACAUGCAAAUUUGUGAAACAUUCCAUAUUUGA